GGAGGCUGAAAGGGCAAGGGGAGAUGUGGUUAUCGCCGUGAAAGUCUCCUGGGUCCAACACACCCUCCCAGUUCACGCUCAUUCCCUUUGGAGGGACUGAGUCACCUCCCCAGACACCCCAAAGAUAUGGGAAUAAAGUGGUUAUAUCAGAAAAGGAGAUCUCUCCAGCGACAGGGGUAUCUCUCAGUGUGACUUCUUGGAGUCAAGGUUUUCUGGAAGCUGAGAGUGUGUCUGCCCCUCCAGGUCUGCCUCCACCCCAAGAGGACCUCGUGGACGUGGUGCCUCAGGCUCCACCAUCCCCAGGAGAAGAGUGCCAUGCUUGGACUCGUUUUUGCUGUUUUUGGGACAGUGGUGCCAUUCCCCUCCCGUGACUGACUCCUGCGUGCAGUCCCUAAUCUGCCCAUCACCGCCGGGGCACUGUCCACAGCAUUCUGUUGAUUUCCUCCACACUGUCUAACACAACCUGAAACAACCUCAUCUGCCCACCACGUCUCAUCUGUGCCUCCCUGCCUGGAACGGAGCUGCAGGAAGGCAGCGAUGUUUGUCUGGAGGUUCCCUGUUCGCUGGUGCGGGUCUAUGAGGAGGAAACACACAGAAACCAAAAGAUGGAAUCAGGCUGUCUCGGGCCACUUCCUUCCGCCACAGCUCUGCCUGGAGUGCCAGCCCCAGCACAGGUGAAUACACAGAACCAGCGCCUCCCUCCUGGAGCUUUCCUGGGGAGACCAGUGAGGGUGAACAAGGAAGCGGAUAGAGAACUCCCCGCAGCGUAAGUGCAGUGGGGACAUUUGUGGCAGGGAGUGCCUGGGGAGGGUGGUCGGGGAAGGCUGCCCCAAGGAGUUAUCAUCUGAGCAAGACCCAAAAUUGUAAGAAGUAGCACGCGGCGCUCCCAGGGAAGAGCAUGCCAGGCUGGAGGCCCUGCGGAGGGGACAAGUUCAGCAGCUUGGAGGACCAGAGAGAAAUCCAGCUCCUGCCUCCUAACUCACACAGCCCUGGUUAUAGCCUUUUGUUAUCACGUUGGGGCAGUUUAGGCCUCAGGAAGCUGAAUCUCAAGACCCUAAUCUGACUGUGGGUCAGAAGAUCCUCAUUCCAGGGUGGGUUCUGCCUCAUCCCCUAGAGGAAGAAAUGCUGCCGAGAAGCUGAGAAGAGUCUGGGCCAGGCGUGGUGGCUCAUGCCUGUAAUCCCAAGACUGGGAGCCCAAGGCGGGCAGAUCACCUGAAGUCAGGAGUUCGAGGCCAGCCUGGCCAACACGGCAAAACCCCAUCUGUACUAAAAAUACAAAAAUUAGUCGGGCAUGGUGGCACGUGCCUGUAAAACCAGCUACUGGGGGUGCUGAGCCAGGAGAAUUGCUUGAACCUGGAAGGCAGAGGUUGCAGUGAGCCGAGAUCACACCACUACACUCCAGCCUGGGUGACAAAGUGAGGCUCCGUCUCAAAAAAAAAAAAAAGAAGAAUCUGGACAGACAAGCCCUGCUGAGUUUACACCACGCCCUGUGUAUCCAGUUGCAUUUCUACAUGGUUGUCAAUCAUUCCUGUCCAACGAUGUCUCCAUCAAAGGCCCAAGAGGACAGGGUUCAGGGACCUUUCAGAGAGCUGACCACGCAGAGGCUCCUGGAGGGGCUGCCCAGGGAGGGCAUGGCAGCUCCACGCCCCUUCCCCGUACCUCGUCUGUGCAUCUCUUCAUGUAUAUUCUUUGCAAUAUCACUUAUAAUAAACCAGGAAACGUGUUUCCCUGACUCCCGUGAGCCACUCUAGCAAAUUAAUCAAACCCAAAGAGGGGGUUGUGGGAACC
rnacentral:lncRNA from 1 species